GUAGGGAAUAUUGGACAAUGGGCGCAAGCCUGAUCCAGCAAUGCCGCGUGAGUGAGGAAGGCCUUAGGGUUGUAAAGCUCUUUCGCACGCGACGAUGAUGACGGUAGCGUGAGAAGAAGCCCCGGCUAACUUCGUGCCAGCAGCCGCGGUAAUACGAAGGGGGCGAGCGUUGUUCGGAAUUACUGGGCGUAAAGGGCGCGUAGGCGGCCCGUUUUGUCAGGCGUGAAAGCCCUGGGCUCAACCUGGGAACUGCGCUUGGGACGGAUGGGCUAGAGAUCGGGAGAGGAGAGUGGAAUUCCCAGUGUAGAGGUGAAAUUCGUAGAUAUUGGGAAGAACACCGGUGGCGAAGGCGGCUCUCUGGACCGAUACUGACGCUGAGGCGCGAAAGCGUGGGGAGCAAACAGGAUUAGAUACCCCGGUAGUCC
rnacentral:rRNA from 1 species